CUGUUACCGGCAAAUUGGAUGCCGAGAAGCUGCGAGAUAAGAUCGCCGAGAGAACCAAGAAGAAGGUUGACAUCAUCUCAGCUCCGCCCAAAAAAGAAGCCGCCGCCACGGAAAAUCCACCGGAGAAGAAGGUUGAAGAGAAGAAACCUGAAGAGAAAAAACCAGAAGAAAAACCUAAAGAGGUAAUUAAUUAGUAAUUAAUCUUCAUUUUCCCCUAAUAGAACGAAUUUAUUAGGCAUAAUUUCACUAACGGAUUUUAUUUUAAUUUAUUUAUUUUUUCUUCUCUACAGAGUAUGGUGGUUUUGAAGAUCAAACUGCACUGUGACGGUUGCAUUGCGAAAAUUCGAAGAAUCAUUAUGAGGUUCAAAGGUGAGAGAGUUGACCUAAAUCAUUAAUUCACACCUAAUUCAUUUUUUUUAAUGAAACAUUUGAUUAUUCUAAUUUAAGUAAUUAAUUAAAUAUCUGAUGCAGGUGUACAAUCGGUGAGCCUUGACGGAAGCAAGGACUUGGUGACAGUGAAGGGAACAAUGGACGUGAAGGAGAUGGUGUCGUACCUGAACGAGAAGCUGAAGCGAAACGUGGAAGUGGUGCCUCCUCCGAAGAAAGACGACGAUAAGAAAGAGAAAGAAGGUGACGGUGGCGAAAAGAAAGAGAAAGAGAAAGACGGUGCCGGUGAGAAGAAAGAGAAAGACGUUGCUGCAGCG
rnacentral:lncRNA from 1 species